rnacentral:rRNA from 1 species
GCCCGAGUUGUAGUCUGCAGAGGUGUAUUCGGGUGUGGCUUUGGCUUAAGUUCCUUGGAACAGGACGUCAUAGAGGGUGAGAACCCCGUUAACGGCCUUUGCUCUAUGCUCAUGUGAAUCUCCUUCAACGAGUCGAGUUGUUUGGGAAUGCAGCUCUAAAUGGGUGGUAAAUUCCAUCUAAAGCUAAAUACUGGCAAGAGACCGAUAGCGCACAAGUAGAGUGAUCGAAAGAUGAAAAGAACUCUGGACAGAGAGUUAAAUAGUACGUGAAAUUGUUGAAAGGGAAGCACUUCCGACCAGACGCACUUGCAGCCGAUCAAUCCUCAUUCUUGAGGGUGCACUCGGUUGUUUGUGGGUCAGCAUCAGUCAUGGUGGUAGGAAAAAGACUGAGGGAAUGUGACUCCUCUCGGGGAGUGUUAUAGCCCUUGGUGCAAUGCUGUCUGCUAUGACUGAGGACCGCGCUUCGGCGAGGAUGUUGGCAUAAUGGUCGUAAGUGACCCGUCUUGAAACACGGACCAAGGAGUCUAACAUCUAUGCGAGUGUUUGGGUAUUCAAACCCUUAUGCGGAAUGAAAGUAAAUGGAGGUGGGAACCGCAAGGUGCACCAUCGACCGAUCCUGAUGUUUUCGGA